UUCAUACUAUUACUUUUUAAUCUGCCAAGAAGCACUGUGAGUACAGUCUUUUGUAGCUCAUUAGCAAUUUCUUUAAUGAGUUUUUUUGGUGUGAUAGAUAGUUAAAGUAACAGACAAAUGACAGAUUGUUUGCCUUUAAUGAUUUCCCUGUUUCAAGCCCAUUACAAAGCAAUUAGAAAUCUGACAGCAUUUUCACUCUGCAUUACUGAUCAUCUAAAGUGAUGAGGAAUGAGAGGUGAUGAAUAUUAAUUGUAUAUUUUCAUAUGAUUAUCAUAAAUUAUUACCUUGUCUGAUGUGCUGCAGGUGAAGCGGGAACAUUAGAGAAAGUCAGUCAGAUAUAUUAAUUUGAAAGACUGGAUAUUUUUUAAUCUUUAUCUGCAAUGUGGAUCCUGGUCUGUAGUGCUACUCUUUAUGACUGUUUCCCUGUGAAUAUUAAAUUAAGGGGUUUUACUUUCUCUGUAUGUUUGGAGAAACUUAAAUACAUUUUUUAUUUGGAUACAAGAAAAGGAAAGACAUAUUCCAUAGUGCAGUGCAUAUACAUAUAUUAAAGCUAAAAUUAAAUUUAGAAAGGGAGACAUGAGUGACUUCUCUUGCUGUAUGUAUCAUACACAUAUGUGUAUGGUAUUUACACAUAUCAGCACAGAGGAAGAGACAGCUGGAAAUUCAUCCUGUCUUCUUCUUAAAGUUAGAUGAUCCUGCAUAAGAAAAGGCAAGAGACCAAAAUACUGAGGAGCCGUAUUAGUUUUUUCUUCACCUUCUAGAUGGAGUUUGGCAUUGCCCCACAGUCCCUCACUUUAACAGGUGUCCAUUGAAAUUAGAGAGAAUUGUGUCCUCUGGAACUGGAGUUGCAUAUAUGAGCACCUGAUGUGGGUGCUGGGAAUCCAUCUGGGACCUGUGCAAGAACAGGAAGUACUCUUAAUUACUGAGCCAUUUCUUCAGCCCCCCCCCACCAUGUACUUAUUUUAAAUAUCAUUUUACCACCUUAUAAAGCAAUAAAGAUCCUUUAUUUCCAUA